rnacentral:rRNA from 1 species
ACGAACGCUGGCGGCGUGCUUAACACCUGCAAGUCGAACGGAAAGGCCCUGCUUGCCGGGUACUCGAGUGGCGAACGGGUGAGUAACACGUGGGUGAUCUGCCCUGCACUUCGGGAUAAGCUUGGGAAACUGGGUCUAAUACCGGAUAGGACCGCACUUUAGUGUGUGUGGUGGAAAGUUUUUUCGGUGUAGGAUGAGCUCGCGGCCUAUCAGCUUGUUGGUGGGGUAAUGGCCUACCAAGGCGGCGACGGGUAGCCGGCCUGAGAGGGUGUACGGCCACAUUGGGACUGAGAUACGGCCCAGACUCCUACGGGAGGCAGCAGUGGGGAAUAUUGCACAAUGGGCGCAAGCCUGAUGCAGCGACGCCGCGUGGGGGAUGAAGGCCUUCGGGUUGUAAACUCCUUUCGCUAGGGACGAAGCGUUGUUGUGACGGUACCUAGAGAAGAAGCACCGGCUAACUACGUG